rnacentral:lncRNA from 1 species
AAAUGUUCAUCCACAAAAAUUACAAAUGAUUUGGACAAAACGGAAAUAUUAAAAGAAAAUGGUUUGUUACGAAAAGAUGAACAUAGUAAUACUUUUAGUAGCUCAUUAAAUGAUUUUUAUUUACAUAAAAAGCAACAUAUUUUAUGUUUUUGUAACGUUUCAUCAAGUAAAAAAACAAAAAAAUUAAAUAAAAGUCAUAAAAAAUAUAUAAAUAAUACGUUAAAAUUUGUAAAAAGUAUAAAUACUCUAAAAAAUAGGGGAUAUAUAAAUAAUAACUUUUAUAUACAUGAAAAUUAUGUUAAUAAAAUGUGUAAUAAUAUGCUCCUUAAAAAUAAUAAGUUAAGUGCGAUAUGUUUUUCUACAAAGAAGUGGCGGUAUAUGAUGAGGAUGAAACGAGAAAAAAGAAAAAACUACUUUUAUACAUACCGAAAAGUUAAUAAAAUGAUAAAGCAUAAAAGUAGAACUUACAGUUUUAAUAAAUCAAAUAGUAUCAAAAUAAUAGAUUCGGUAGAAAAAAGAUUAAAAAAAAAAACAGAGGAUGAUAUGCGAACAAUAAUUUUUUUUAAAAUGCUAUGUUUGUAUAAAUAUGUUGUAGUGAUUUCUAAAAAUAGUACGAAUCAAAAACAGAUAUAUACUAUGUUAAAUAAUGAAGAGUUACAUACAAUGUCUAAUUUUGAUGAAGAAAAAAAUAGUAGUACUAGUUUUAAGAACACAUGGAAUGUAUAUAAUGAAGAAUGUAACACCUAUAGCGCUAUAAAAAAAGAAAUACUUCAAUAUAUUAUAAAAUAUUUAAAAAGAGUUAAAAAAUUAAUUCAGUUUGAUACAUAUUUAUAUUUAUUACUUAGUGCUGUUUAUUAUGAUUUACAAAAAUUUAAAAAAAGUAUACUAUGCGUAAGAAAUAGUAUUAAAAUGGAUUACUUUAAUUUUGUUUCUUGGUACUAUUUUAAUUGUUCUAUUUCUAUUGAAGUAAUUAAAUCGCCUAAUUUGACGUAUAAAGGCAGUAACAAAGGGCGUGAUAAUCUGUUUAAUAAUGUAUGGAUUGAUAGAGAGUGUAAAAAAAAAAAAAAAAAUGAUAAAACAAAAGUGCGCUUUACAAAAAAAAAAAAUAUAUAUUUAAUAAAUUCGAAUAGAAUAAAACGGCUUUGCAGUUACAUAUUUAAUAAUAAUUUUUUUUUACAUAAUAAGUUAAACGAAAUAAAUGUUAUGAAUAAUUAUAACAACUAUAUUUAUAAUAACCCAUUUAGUACUUUAAACGAAUCAUUUUUUUUUAAAAAAAAU